GCCAAGGUCGCUUAGUGGCUAGCACAUCUGCCUAAUAAGCAGGAGACCUGGGUUCAAUUCCCAGCCUUGGCA